rnacentral:rRNA from 1 species
CCCUUAGAUGUUCUGGGCCGCACGCGCGCUACACUGAUGCAUUCAACGAGUUUCUUCCUGGUCCGAGAGGAAUGGGUAACCUUUUAAAAGUGCAUCGUGAUAGGGAUAGACUAUUGCAAUUAUUGGUCUUCAACGAGGAAUUCCUAGUAGACGUAGUUCAUCAGACUGCAUCGAUUACGUCCCUGCCCUUUGUACACACCGCCCGUCGCUCCUACCGAUUGAAUGCUCAGGUGAGCCAUUCGGACUUUCAUCAUGCUGGUUUCCAGUUUUGAUGAAGGAAAGUCUUGCGAACCUUAUCAUUUAGAGGAAGGAGAAGUCGUAACA